rnacentral:tRNA from 1 species
GCACCCGUGGUGGAACUGGCAGACACGCUAGAUUCAGGUUCUAGUGCCCUCGCGGGCGUGGAGGUUCGAAUCCUCUCGGGUGUACCA